GACGAACGCUGGCGGCGUGCUUAACACAUGCAAGUCGAACGGUAAGGCUCCAGCUUGCUGGGGUACACGAGUGGCGAACGGGUGAGUAACACGUGGGUGACCUGCCCUGCACUUCGGGAUAAGCCUGGGAAACUGGGUCUAAUACCGGAUAGGACCGCACCGUGAGGGUGUGGUGGAAAGUUUUUUCGGUGUGGGAUGGGCCCGCGGCCUAUCAGCUUGUUGGUGGGGUAAUGGCCUACCAAGGCGGCGACGGGUAGCCGGCCUGAGAGGGUGGACGGCCACAUUGGGACUGAGACACGGCCCAGACUCCUACGGGAGGCAGCAGUGGGGAAUAUUGCACAAUGGGCGGAAGCCUGAUGCAGCGACGCCGCGUGGGGGAUGACGGCCUUCGGGUUGUAAACUCCUUUCACCAUCGACGAAGGGUUUCUGACGGUAGAUGGAGAAGAAGCACCGGCUAACUACGUGCCAGCAGCCGCGGUAAUACGUAGGGUGCGAGCGUUGUCCGGAAUUACUGGGCGUAAAGAGCUCGUAGGUGGUUUGUCGCGUCGUCUGUGAAAUUCCGGGGCUUAACUCCGGGCGUGCAGGCGAUACGGGCAUAACUUGAGUACUGUAGGGGAGACUGGAAUUCCUGGUGUAGCGGUGAAAUGCGCAGAUAUCAGGAGGAACACCGGUGGCGAAGGCGGGUCUCUGGGCAGUAAUUGACGCUGAGGAGCGAAAGCAUGGGGAGCGAACAGGAUUAGAUACCCUGGUAGUCCAUGCCGUAAACGGUGGGCGCUAGGUGUGGGUUUCCUUCCACGGGAUCCGUGCCGUAGCUAACGCAUUAAGCGCCCCGCCUGGGGAGUACGGCCGCAAGGCUAAAACUCAAAGGAAUUGACGGGGGCCCGCACAAGCGGCGGAGCAUGUGGAUUAAUUCGAUGCAACGCGAAGAACCUUACCUGGGCUUGACAUAUACAGGAUCGCGCCAGAGAAGGUGUUUCCCUUGUGGCUUGUAUACAGGUGGUGCAUGGUUGUCGUCAGCUCGUGUCGUGAGAUGUUGGGUUAAGUCCCGCAACGAGCGCAACCCUUGUCUUAUGUUGCCAGCACGUUGUGGUGGGGACUCGUAAGAAACUGCCGGGGUUAACUCGGAGGAAGGUGGGGAUGACGUCAAAUCAUCAUGCCCCUUAUGUCCAGGGCUUCACACAUGCUACAAUGGUCGGUACAGUGGGUUGCCAGUCCGUGAGGGCGAGCUAAUCCCGCAAAGCCGGUCUCAGUUCGGAUCGGGGUCUGCAACUCGACCCCGUGAAGUCGGAGUCGCUAGUAAUCGCAGAUCAGCAACGCUGCGGUGAAUACGUUCCCGGGCCU
rnacentral:rRNA from 1 species